CUGUUGUCACCGCUACACGCAACCAACCUCAGGACAAUUUAUCAAAUUAAUCCAACUUUUCUAGUCUGACUUUAUACACAGCAAACUUACCAAAAAUUUCCAAAACAAAAAAAAAAGUUGCCAAGCUACCAAGCGCUCAAAAAGUUACCUAUUUUGGUCACAGGUGACCAAAUGUGGUAACCGUGCUUCUACCGCUUACACUUUGUUGCUUUUUCUAUUUUGCCUUAAACAAACAAUCGUGGUAUAAAGCCCACGGUCAAAAUUUUUAAAUAAAUAAAAUGUUAA